rnacentral:rRNA from 1 species
UACGGAGGGUGCGAGCGUUGUCCGGAAUCACUGGGCGUAAAGGGCGCGUAGGUGGCGCGGCAAGUCAGCGGUGAAAGCCCGAGGCUCAACUUCGGGUCGGCCGUUGAUACUGCUGUGCUUGAGCACUGUAGAGGCAGGUGGAAUUCCGGGUGUAGCGGUGGAAUGCGUAGAGAUCCGGAAGAACACCAGUGGCGAAGGCGGCUCACUGGCCCGGUACUGACGCUGAGGUGCGAAA